AUGAACGCUAGCGGCAGGCUUAACACAUGCAAGUCGAGGGGCAGCGGGGAGUAGCAAUACUCCGCCGGCGACCGGCGCACGGGUGCGUAACGCGUAUGCAACCUACCUUUAACAGGGGCAUAACACUGAGAAAUUGGUACUAAUUCCCCAUAACAUUCGAGAAGGCAUCUUCUUGGGUUAAAAACUCCGGUGGUUAAAGAUGGGCAUGCGUUGUAUUAGCUAGUUGGUGAGGUAACGGCUCACCAAGGCGACGAUACAUAGGGGGACUGAGAGGUUAACCCCCCACAUUGGUACUGAGACACGGACCAAACUCCUACGGGAGGCAGCAGUGAGGAAUAUUGGUCAAUGGACGCAAGUCUGAACCAGCCAUGCCGCGUGCAGGAAGACGGCUCUAUGAGUUGUAAACUGCUUUUGUACUAGGGUAAACGCUCUUACGUGUAGGAGCCUGAAAGUAUAGUACGAAUAAGGAUCGGCUAACUCCGUGCCAGCAGCCGCGGUAAUACGGAGGAUCCAAGCGUUAUCCGGAUUUAUUGGGUUUAAAGGGUGCGUAGGCGGUUUGAUAAGUUAGAGGUGAAAUACCGGGGCUCAACUCCGGAACUGCCUCUAAUACUGUUGAACUAGAGAGUAGUUGCGGUAGGCGGAAUGUAUGGUGUAGCGGUGAAAUGCUUAGAGAUCAUACAGAACACCGAUUGCGAAGGCAGCUUACCAAACUAUAUCUGACGUUGAGGCACGAAAGCGUGGGGAGCAAACAGGAUUAGAUACCCUGGUAGUCCACGCCGUAAACGAUGAAUACUAGGUGUUGGGUUUCAUAAGAAGCUCGGUGCCGGCGCAAACGCAUUAAGUAUUCCACCUGGGGAGUACGUUCGCAAGAAUGAAACUCAAAGGAAUUGACGGGGGCCCGCACAAGCGGAGGAACAUGUGGUUUAAUUCGAUGAUACGCGAGGAACCUUACCCGGGCUUGAAAGUUAGUGACGAUUCUGGAAACAGGAUUUCCCUUCGGGGCACGAAACUAGGUGCUGCAUGGUUGUCGUCAGCUCGUGCCGUGAGGUGUCGGGUUAAGUCCCAUAACGAGCGCAACCCCUACCGUUAGUUGCCAUCAGGUCAAGCUGGGCACUCUGGCGGGACUGCCGGUGUAAGCUGAGAGGAAGGUGGGGAUGACGUCAAAUCAGCACGGCCCUUACGUCCGGGGCUACACACGUGUUACAAUGGUAGGUACAGAGGGCCGCUACCCCGUGAGGGGAUGCCAAUCUCGAAAGCCUAUCUCAGUUCGGAUCGGAGGCUGAAACCCGCCUCCGUGAAGUUGGAUUCGCUAGUAAUCGCGCAUCAGCCAUGGCGCGGUGAAUACGUUCCCGGGCCUUGUACACACCGCCCGUCAAGCCAUGGAAGCUGGGGGUGCCUGAAGUUCGUGACCGCAAGGAGCGACCUAGGGCAAAACCGGUGACUGGGGCU
rnacentral:rRNA from 1 species